AUACGUAGGGGGCGAGCGUUGUCCGGAAUGAUUGGGCGUAAAGGGCGCGUAGGCGGCCCGGUAAGUCUGGAGGGAAAGUCCUGUUUUUAAGAUGGGAAUUGCUUUGGAUACUGUCGGGCUUGAGUGCAGGAGAGGUAAGUGGAAUUCCCAGUGUAGCGGUGAAAUGCGUAGAGAUUGGGAGGAACACCAGUGGCGAAGGGGACUUACUGGACUGUAACUGACGCUGAGGCGCGAAAGUGUGGGGAGCAAACAGGAUUAGAUACCCUGGUAGUCCACACUGUAAACGAUGAAUGCUAGGUGUAGGGGGUAUCGACCCCUUCUGUGCCGCAGUCAACACAAUAAGCAUUCCGCCUGGGGAGUACGGCCGCAAGGUUGAAACUCAAAGGAAUUGACGGGG
rnacentral:rRNA from 1 species